GCAUAAUAAUUUGCUUUUUAAUUGAAGGCUUGUAUGAAUGGAUAAACGAGAAUAAAGCUGUCUCAAUUUUAGUAAUAUAAAUUAAUAUUCAAAUGAAGAAGUUUGAAUGAUAUAAAAAGACAAGAAGACCCUGUUGAGCUUUAUUUAUUAUAAAAUAUAGUAAAAUUAAUUAUUAAUUAUUUUAAAUAUAAAUUUAAUUGGGGUGAUUGAGGAAGAAAAAAAAUCUUCCUAGAUAUUUAAAGAUUUUUAAAUCUUAUUGUGUAUCCAUAAAAAUGAAUAAAUAAUAAGCUACCACAGGGAUAACAGGCUAAUUUCUUUUGAGAGUUCAUAUCGAAAAAGAAGU
rnacentral:rRNA from 1 species